UGGUUGGUCAUGGCUGCCUGGAGUGCUGUGUGGAGAAAAUUCUGAGACUUCAUCUAGGGUUAUUUACAGACUAAAUGAGACAGUGUAUAUCUAACAUUGCUUUGUGGAUGCUAUCAAGUGCUGGCAAAUGUGUGGGAGAAUGAAUGGAAAACUUCAUCAAUUUCUAGGAUAGUAAAUUGGUGCUGCUAUUUUGGAGAGCAAUUUGUCAGCCUUCAGGGGAAACUGAAUAUGCACAUCCUCUAAGACCCAGCAGUUUCACUUCAAAGAAAAUUUCUUAUAUGCACAGAGACUUGUACAAUGAUAUUUAUCACAGCACUGUUUGUAAUAACAAACGGCUGGAAAUAAACCAAAUGGCCAAUGAUAAGAAUUGAUAAAUGUGGUAAAUGCCUAAAAUAGAAUGUCACACAGCAGUUAAAAAAUCAUUUAUUCACUAAUUAAGCAAAGGACAAAAAGCCUCAACAGAAAAAAAAAGACAAAAGCCUUCAAUAGUCACUUUGCCAAAUGUUCAAUACACGUACAAAAACAUGGGCAAGUCCAUUGGUUGUCAAGGAAGUUCGAAUUAAAGCCACAUUUUGCAGGUACAACACUGGCACAAGUUUAAGUGUGAUGAUACCAAGUCUUGGAGAAGGUUGAAGCUACUGGAAAACCUGCCCUCUGCUGGUGGGAGUGCAAAUUGCUGCAAGCUCUUUGGACAAUAAUUUGGCAUCCUCUAGUGAAGUUGAAGACGUGUGUGCUUGAGACUCAGCAAUUCCCCUUUGUGACAUCAGGAUGCUCCCACACAUAUGCUUAAGAACAUUCAUGCCAGCUUUGUUUAUAUAACAAAAACGUGGAAAUAACCCAAAUGUCUGAGGAUGGGGAAUGGACAAAUAAUGGUUCAUAGUUAUGAAAAUGAAUACACAACAGCUACAAGCAUCUACUGGAAUGAAUCUCACAUGCACUGUGUUGUAGAAGAAUAUGUAUAAUUCCAUUUAUGUAAAGUUUAAAAGCAUGCACAACUAAAUGAUAUGUUAUUUAUGAGUAUAUGACAUAUAUGAUAAAGGCAAAG
rnacentral:lncRNA from 1 species